AUAAAGUUUGAUUCUUGCUUUGAGUUUAAUUUUUUCAUUAUUUUACAUGCAAGAUUUUUCGUGAAUAAUUUUUUAAUUCUAAAUGAUUAAUUUUUUAUUCGCAGUAAUUUGUUCUGUAUUUUUAUUUUGGUAUGAUAUGUUAAAUGAUUAUUGUUUAUGAUUAAUUUUGUGCCAGCAUUCGCGGUUAUACAAUUGUAAAUUAUUAAAUUUUAUAUCUUUUAGUUAAUCGUUAUUUUUGAAAUUUAUUAUUAUUUAAUUAGGUAAAAUUUUUAUUUAAUUUUUUAUUCUUUAUUUAUAAGUGUUUCUAAGAAAUUUUUUUUUAAACUAGGAUUAGAUACCCUAUUAUUUUGAAUGUAAACUUUAUAGAUUGAUUAUUAAUAGUUAUGAUCUUUAAAUUUAAAGAAUUUGGCGGUAAUUAAGUCUUUUUAGAGGAACCUGUUUUUUAAUUGAUAAUCCACGAUUGAUUUUACUUUAAUGUUACUUGUAUAUCUCUGUCAUUGAAUGUAUUAUUAGGUUUUUAUUUUCAUUUAGUUUUAGUUUAAAUUUAUGUUAGGUCAAGGUGCAGUUUGUAUUAAAGUUUAAAUGGGUUACAUUGUUUUUAUUUUGGAUUUUGAUUUGUAAAAUUUAAUUAAAAUUGGAUUUAAUAGUAAUUUUAAUUAGUAAAGUUAUUUUGAUUUUGGCUCUUAAUUAUGUACACAUUGCCCGUCACUCUCAUUAAUUUGAGAUAAGUCGUAACAAAGUAGAUUUACCGGAAGGUGAAUCUAGAAAGAAUUUCAAGUUAAAG
rnacentral:ncRNA from 1 species